UACGUAGGGGGCAAGCGUUGUCCGGAAUUAUUGGGCGUAAAGCGCGCGCAGGCGGCUGUGUAAGUCCGGUGUUUAAGGCUGGGGCUCAACCCCGGUUCGCACCGGAAACUGGACGGCUUGAGUGCAGGAGAGGGAAGUGGAAUUCCACGUGUAGCGGUGAAAUGCGUAGAGAUGUGGAGGAACACCAGUGGCGAAGGCGACUUCCUGGCCUGUAACUGACGCUGAGGCGCGAAAGCGUGGGGAGCAAACAGG
rnacentral:rRNA from 1 species